rnacentral:lncRNA from 1 species
AUAAAUGUAUUGUAUUUGUAGGUCAUCUCUUCCCCCAAAAUGAACGUGCCGUGCGGACCAUCAGAAACUUGUAUGUUGAGAAUGAAAGGGUAAUUUCACUUUCUGUCAAGAAAAGGAAACAAGUUGAAUCAGAAAUAGUUCUCUCAAUUUCAGCAGCACUAUGUUCCUACUGAAUCUAUUUAAAGUAUUUAUGGUAACCGUAGGUAGUACUUGAAGGGCAGUGGAAGGAAGGCUUUGUUGCAAUUGCAGCCAUUGGUGCUACUAAUGUUGGCUCUAUCAAAGUACUCUCUCUCUCUCUCUCUCUCAGUGCUUUACGUAUCAGGAAGUAGAUCAGGCAGGCUAUGCCUUUAUGCAUUGCCUCUAAUUGCACCGUUUUCAUGAUGUGCUCUGCAUUGAUAGUAGAUUGGUAGCAGUUGCAAAUUAAGAUUAUCCAUUGCCAUGUCUGGUAGAUUGGGAUCUGAAUAUUAUACCAAGGAAAGGAGAGAUGCAAUCUUUUUCUGUAGUUGUUUAAAUAAAUUGGUACAUCGAAUUGCAGAUUAACGCUGUGAUAUUAUUCAGUUUGUCCUCCAUGGACACAUGAUGAGGAUAUGUGCAAGUUACGCAUUUGAUGAAUACAAAUAUUUUACUGAGUGAUACUCAUAUUUUGCAGCUAUAUAUUGAACCAGAGCUAAGGACAAAUAGGGCAGGGUCGAAGAUACUGAACUCCCAGCCUGAGCCUCCUGAUGAUCGAGUUUAUGAACCUGUAGGCACCGGUGUGAUGGUUAAAAAGGGGGAAGAGGUAGGGAAAUGUCAUCCCAGCUGCUUGGUACAAUGCGUGUUAAAGUUUUUUGUUAUUAUUAUUAUACUACAUACUACAUACUAGAAUAGUAGUUUGUGGUGCAAUAUUGUGAAGAGCAAUUGGUGUUGUGGACCAUUGGCAGAUAGCAGGGUUUAAGAUGGGAUCGACGGUGGUGAUGGUAUUUGAGGCACCUGUAGUGUCCAAGGCAAGAUGGAGAGAGGAUGGCAGUGGCACGGUAACGUCAGAUUUCGAUUUCUGUAUCAAGGCUGGCGAUAGGAUCAGGGUAGGAGAAGCCAUUGGGCGAUGGACAUCGCGGGAAUGAAUGAAUGAAGGCAUGGCAUGGCAUCUCUCUCUAUAUAUCUUGUGUUAACAUGAUGGAUGAUGAGUAUCGUCGUCGUAUCAAUGUCUCUUUCGUUUUUAUUUUUGAGCUGCGGUGCCGGUGCAUGCUACUACAAAAAGACUUGUAUCUUCUGUAGGGAAGUAAAGGAAACUAUUGCCAUUUUGACUUGACUUGGGCGAUUUGAGAGAGAAUGAUAUUCUUGUUACUCAGCAGUUUUAAGACUUGUUUUCAGCUUUGUUUAGUUCCAAAGUUUUUUUCUAAACUUCCAACUUUCCAUCACAUCAAACUUUUCAUACAAACACAACUUUUCAGUCACAUCGUCUCUAAUUUCAACCAAAUUCUAAACUUUGGGCCGAACUAAACACAACCUAAGUAGAAUUGUUUUGAAGUUGAAUCUUGUUCCUUCCAACUGUGUGGUUCAGGGAGACGAAAAUAUGUCCUCCUAUAGUGCAGUCAUAGAUUGAUUGUAACAUACGGAGUAGAAAUGAGACCGAUAAUUAACUGUAUGUAUCCUAGUAGUACGUUUUAGUGGCAGUAGUGGCGGUGGCGGCAACCGGCAAGGAAAGAAUGCGCAACUAUAAUAGUACUAUCUCAUAUGUUGUUUUUUUUUUACUCAUGGCAUGACAGGAGCAGAGCAAACACAGAUGACUGAUUAAUGGUUGCAUCUAGUAGUAGUAGUACAUGGAUCGAAUGGCAGCAGCAGCAGCAGCUGAAGGCAAAGUUGCUUGACAAAAAUUGAAAAGAAGAUGAUGUUGCAGCAGCAGAAGGAGUUGGUGAGAUCAGAUGAGGCCCUUGGUCCUGUACAUGUAAGAGAGAGAUGAGAUCUACGAAGAAGACAUGUUGGUCAGUAGAUGAUGAAGAAGCAAGGGAGGAUAGGAGGGAAGGGUCAGAGCACACCUACGUCUGCUUGGAGAAGGAGGAGGAUGGAGCGGAGGAAGCGGCGACGGCGGUGGAGGAGGAGGAAGAGCGCUUGCUGCGGAAGAUCAUGUAGGCGAGCGGGAGGACAACGCCGGCCAUCAUGAUGGCGGCGCCGACCAGGUACCUCGCCGG